UACGGGGGGGGCAAGCGUUGUUCGGAAUUACUGGGCGUAAAGGGCCAGUAGGCGGCCAACUAAGUCGGAUGUGAAAUCCCCAGGCUCAACUUGGGAACUGCAUCCGAUACUGGAUGGCUUGAAUUCGGGAGAGGGAUGCAGAAUUCCAGGUGUAGCGGUGAAAUGCGUAGAUAUCUGGAGGAAUACCGGUGGCGAAGGCGGCAUCCUGGACCGACACUGACACUGAGGAGCGAAAGCCAGGGGAGCAAACGGA
rnacentral:rRNA from 1 species